CGUGUAGGCGGGAAAGUAAGUCAGAUGUGAAAUUCCAGGGCUCAACUCUGGCGCUGCAUCUGAAACUAUUUUUCUUGAGUGAUGGAGAGGAAAGUGGAAUUCCUAGUGUAGCGGUGAAAUGCGUAGAUAUUAGGAGGAACACCAGUGGCGAAGGCGACUUUCUGGACAUUAACUGACGCUGAGGCGCGAAAGCGUGGGGAGCAAACAGGAUUAGAUACCCUGGUAGUCCACGCUGUAAACGAUGGAUACUAGGUGUAGGGGGUAUCGACCCCCCCUGUGCCGGAGUUAACACAAUAAGUAUCCCACCUGGGGAGUACGGCCGCAAGGUUGAA
rnacentral:rRNA from 1 species